rnacentral:rRNA from 1 species
UUACUACACCGUAUUCUGUGAGUUGCGAACGGGUGAGUAACGCGUAGGUAACCUGCCUGGUAGCGGGGGAUAACUAUUGGAAACGAUAGCUAAUACCGCAUAAGAACAUUUACUGCAUGGUAGAUGUUUAAAAGGUGCAAAAGCAUCACUACCAGAUGGACCUGCGUUGUAUUAGCUAGUUGGUGAGGUAACGGCUCACCAAGGCAACGAUACAUAGCCGACCUGAGAGGGUGAUCGGCCACACUGGGACUGAGACACGGCCCAGACUCCUACGGGAGGCAGCAGUAGGGAAUCUUCGGCAAUGGGGGGAACCCUGACCGAGCAACGCCGCGUGAGUGAAGAAGGUUUUCGGAUCGUAAAGCUCUGUUGUUAAGGAAGAACGUGUGUGAGAGUGGAAAGUUCACACAGUGACGGUACUUAACCAGAAAGGGACGGCUAACUACGUGCCAGCAGCCGCGGUAAUACGUAGGUCCCGAGCGUUGUCCGGAUUUAUUGGGCGUAAAGCGAGCGCAGGCGGUUAGAUAAGUCUGAAGUGAAAGGCAGUGGCUCAACCAUUGUAGGCUUUGGAAACUGUUUAACUUGAGUGCAGAAGGGGAGAGUGGAAUUCCAUGUGUAGCGGUGAAAUGCGUAGAUAUAUGGAGGAACACCGGUGGCGAAAGCGGCUCUCUGGUCUGUAACUGACGCUGAGGCUCGAAAGCGUGGGGAGCGAACAGGAUUAGAUACCCUGGUAGUCCACGCCGUAAACGAUGAGUGCUAGGUGUUAGGUCCUUUCC